UUAUAUAUAUCUCCUGCUCUUGAAACUAGUGUCCUUAUGAAGAAGAGAUCCUGUAGCGCUCUGCAGUUCAGUGUCCCUCAUUCACCAGAACCUGGCACUUUAGUCAUAUGAAGAUACAAUAAGAAGGCCUCCAUCUGCAAACCAAGAGAACUCUGACCAGACACUGAACCUGCCAUGGUUUUGGACUUCUUUGGCUCCAGAACUGUGAGAAAUAAAUGUUUGCUUUUAAGU